rnacentral:misc_RNA from 1 species
UCGUAACAAGGUUUCCGUAGGUGAACCUGCGGAAGGAUCAUUACUGAGUGAGGGCCCCUCGGGGUCCAACCUCCCACCCGUGUUUAACGAACCUUGUUGCUUUGGCGGGCCCGCCUCACGGCCGCCGGGGGGCAUCUGCCCCCGGGCCCGCGCCCGCCGAAGCCACCUGUGAACUCUGUCUGAAGUAUGCAGUCUGAGACAAUUAUUAAAUUAAUUAAAACUUUCAACAACGGAUCUCUUGGUUCCGGCAUCGAUGAAGAACGCAGCGAAAUGCGAUAACUAAUGUGAAUUGCAGAAUUCAGUGAAUCAUCGAGUCUUUGAACGCACAUUGCGCCCUCUGGUAUUCCGGAGGGCAUGCCUGUCCGAGCGUCAUUGCUGCCCUCCAGCCCGGCUGGUGUGUUGGGCCCCGCCCCCCUUCCCGGGGGGGCGGGCCCGAAAGGCAGCGGCGGCACCGCGUCCGGUCCUCGAGCGUAUGGGGCUUUGUCACCCGCUCUUGUAGGCCCGGCCGGCGCCAGCCGACCCCCUCAAUCUAUUUUUUCAGGUUGACCUCGGAUCAGGUAGGGAUACCCGCUGAACUUAAGCAUAUCAAUAA